CACGUAGGGCGCGAGCGUUGUCCGGAAUUAUUGGGCGUAAAGAGCUCGUAGGCGGCCUGUUGCGUCCGCUGUGAAAGCCUGGGGCUUAACCCCGGGUCGGCAGUGGAUACGGGCAGGCUAGAGGUAGGUAGGGGAGAAUGGAAUUCCCGGUGUAGCGGUGAAAUGCGCAGAUAUCGGGAGGAACACCGGUGGCGAAGGCGGUUCUCUGGGCCUUACCUGACACUGAGGAGCGAAAGCGUGGGGAGCGAACAGG
rnacentral:rRNA from 1 species